AAUCUGUGAGGCAGGAAGCCAGCUAGUAGGACUUUCACUUUGUUGGGAGUUCCUAUUUCCUUUUUUUCCUCUUUGCCCAAUAAAUUCAAUUUUUCUCACCCUUCAAAGUGCCUGUGAGCCUAAUCUCUCCUGGCUAUGUGACAAGGACCCCGUUUUUAGCUGAACUAAGGAGAAAGUCCUACAACAUAACUAGAUGAGGUUACGGCAGGCACUAAAUCUGCCCCGAGUGCUUGACUCAGCCUCACUUGAUCCGCUGCAACAGCCUCCCCUCUGGACUGAGAUGGGAAGCCAGAUGUCAUGUGUGGCGAGGCAGCCUAGAGAGAGGUCCCUAUGGUGAGAAACUGGGGCCCCGCUAACAGCCACCUAAGUGAGCUUGGAAGUGGAUCCUCUAGCACCUUAGGACUGCAGCCCUGGCCAGUAGUUUGACUGUCUCCUCAUGAGAGAACCUAUGCCAGAAUCACCAACUAAGCCUUUCCCAAAUUCCUGACCCACAGAAACUGUGAACUGGCCAUCUUGCCUGUUUUCAUAAAAGUCUGAAAUACGGAGGAGACCCUGAUUUAUAUUUUCCAUAGAAGAGAAGAGAGAUUGAGAUGACUCUCUUGCAGUGAGGUAUGGCGUGUCCUCUCCAUGACAAUGUGAGGGAAAGUGAUGUAUGCCACUUCCAGGUGAGGCCUUCAAAAGAAUGGAUGUGUAUCC
rnacentral:lncRNA from 1 species